AAAGUUUACUCAAUGAUGAGUCCGUGGCGAACCGUUCGCGAACCGUUCGGCGAACCGUUCGGGACAUCACUAUCUCUAAGGUAUGUUAAGGUGUAGUGAUUUGAUGUUAAGACAUUCUUUUAAAUAUAUGAAAUGUGCUAUGUUCCCUGUUUAGAUUUUGGUCUUUACAGAAAUCAUAGGGACUGGAGAGGCUUCAGUUAUGCAGAAGAGAUCCCCAUUUUCCUGAUUACUCCCACCCCUUGUAAAAUUAUUUCACGGGUAUCUUGUAAUCUGACAGUAAAAUAAAUAUGGAAAAGAAAAGGUUAUUUCUAGAUGUUGUGAGGCUUAAUAAAUAGCUUAGUCUUUCUUGUGGGCUGUAAUAAACCUUUAAUUAUUUCUUCAAAAUAGCUCCAGUGUGGAUGUGAAUUUAAGUAAACAAAGUGAUCAUAAUUGGCACCUUUUAGAAUCUGUGUGUGUUGCUGUUCCCCGUUAUCUGUCAGCACUUUUUACUUGCCAGCAGGGUUUCUAAGACAAACAGAACAGUGGAAUUUUAAUUUAAAGACAUAUGCACAGAAGGGGUGAACGGUGAAGUAAAAAGCACUAAUUGUGACAAUUCAUUAACUAAAUCUAUUUUAUAGUAAUUUUAGCACUAUAUAUAGUCUUACUAUCUGUGUAUGUAUAAACAAAGUAAAUACAAAUUAAUUUAAAACAUUUUUUAACUUAAAGUGACACUACAGGAUCCCAGAUCACUUCAGCUCAUUGAAGUGAUGUUGGUGCACUGUCCCAGUCCCCCAAGCCCUGCAAUUAUAAUUAUUGCAGUUAUUUAUAAACUGUAAUAAUUACCUUGCAGGGUUAACUCCACCUCUAGUGGCUGCACUAGAGGCACUUCCAGAUGGUUAGGUGACUUUUGGUAUACUAACUGAUGCUGGACAGUGUCAUCUAAAAGCCAAUAGGAAAGCAUUGAGCUUUUUAAACUUUCCAGCGCCAUUAGGGCGUGUAGAUCACUACAAUGCUAGGAAAACAGCUCAGCUUUCGUAACAUUAUAGUUUCCCUUUAAUUUACUUUUAACUUGCAAAUUGCAGUCUAUAUCCCUUAACUCUUAACAGUAGUUAAGUUUCAAUGUUUAAAAAAAAGAAAUCAGAACAUGGAGUGAUACAUACUGAAUCCCCCUAUGCACAAACAUAUGUUACUUAUGAUUAUCAUCCACAUAUGUCAUGGUAAAAAUGGAACUUAACUAGACAGCUCAUGUAGCAAGAUGGUGUGAGGAUGACACUGUUCCCUUUCUGUGUUGCUGAUAUUAUGAAGAGCAUUUGGAGUACUAUUUCUGUUAUGACCCUAUUUAUGGGACCUUGAACCAGUUCAAUCCUUUCAGCUGUUGGCAGUAAUAUAUUAUGAAAUGUUGCUGUCCAUGGUUCUGAACUGCCGUGUUUAUAUAUCUAUCACAUAUUAUUUUAGGGAAUACAUUGGGAGUGAGGCUUUUGACAUAUACAUAAUGCAAAAUAAUAUGCUUGAUUUUUAAACUUAUUGUUUUGAAUAACAAUUUUUAACAUUGUAUGAAUUUUCAACAAUGCCACCUGCUUAACAACAAAGGCUGUGAAUAGUAUGUAUAAUGAUUGGAUGUGUAUGAAUUACAUAACCAUUAUUAUUGAGUAUUACUGAAACAUAUAAAAGGAAGCACAAUAUACUGAUUUAAGCUUGAGAAUCUAAUUUAAUAAUAAUAUCAGUGAAAACUGCAUGCCAAUUAAACAUUAUCUCUAUCUUGAAUUAAUGGCCUUAGGGAAAGGGUGGGAUGGACUUAGCAUAUCUGAAACAAAUGGUUUUUAAGCCUACCUUUUUACUGAGACUAGUGCAUAUUGUGAUUCAAUUAUUUCCUUUGUUAAUGUCAUUCCAUUAAGAUAGCAUAUUACAGGGUUUAAGUAAUAAAUCUUCUUCCAUUCAUCAGCUUUUUCAAAU
rnacentral:lncRNA from 1 species